rnacentral:rRNA from 1 species
UACGUAGGGGGCAAGCGUUGUCCGGAAUCAUUGGGCGUAAAGCGCGCGUAGGCGGCUCGGUAAGUCCGCUGUAAAAGUCCAGGGCUCAACCCUGGAAAGCCGGUGGAUACUGUCGGGCUAGAGUCCGGAAGAGGCGAGUGGAAUUCCUGGUGUAGCGGUGGAAUGCGCAGAUAUCAGGAGGAACACCGAUGGCGAAGGCAGCUCGCUGGGACGGUACUGACGCUGAGGCGCGGAAGCGUGGGGAGCGAACAGG